AACGAACGCUGGCGGCAGGCUUAACACAUGCAAGUCGAACGGUUGUAGCAAUACAGCAGUGGCGCACGGGUGAGUAACGCGUGGAUAUCUGCCUUUUGGUUCGGAAUAACUCCGGGAAACUGGAGCUAAUACCGGAUGGUUCCUGCGGGAUAAAGAUUUAUCGCCAAAAGAUGAGUCCGCGUACGAUUAGCUAGUUGGUGAGGUAAUGGCUCACCAAGGCGACGAUCGUUAGCUGGUCUGAGAGGACGAUCAGCCACACUGGGACUGAGACACGGCCCAGACUCCUACGGGAGGCAGCAGUGGGGAAUAUUGGACAAUGGGGGCAACCCUGAUCCAGCCAUGCCGCGUGAGUGAUGAAGGCCUUCGGGUUGUAAAGCUCUUUGGUCGGGGACGAUGAUGACGGUACCCGCAGAAUAAGCCCCGGCUAACUUCGUGCCAGCAGCCGCGGUAAU
rnacentral:rRNA from 1 species